CGAGUUGGCCGGGCGGCCGCGGACCGCCGAAAGGCGGUUCGAGGAAAGUCCGGACUUCACAGAGCAGGGUGAUUGCUAACGGCAAUCCGAGGUGACUCGCGGGACAGUGCCACAGAAAACAAACCGCCACCCGCGCGGGUGGUAAGGGUGAAACGGUGCGGUAAGAGCGCACCAGCACGCCGGGUGACCGGCGUGGCUAGGCAAACCCCACCCGAAGCAAGGCCAAGAAGGCCGCACGCGAGUGCGGCUGCGCAGGCGCCCGAGGGCUGCUCGCCCGAGCCUGCGGGUAGGCCGCUCGAGGCACCCGGCGACGGUGUGCCCAGAUGGAUGGUCGCCGCUCCGCCGCCGUUGCUCAACGCACGGCGGCGGGGAACAGAAUCCGGCUUACAGGCCAACUCGCCCG
rnacentral:RNase_P_RNA from 1 species